UACGGGGGGGGCAAGCGUUGUUCGGAAUUACUGGGCGUAAAGGGCUCGUAGGCGGCCAACUAAGUCAGACGUGAAAUCCCUCGGCUUAACCGGGGAACUGCGUCUGAUACUGGAUGGCUAGAGUUUGGGAGAGGGAUGCGGAAUUCCAGGUGUAGCGGUGAAAUGCGUAGAUAUCUGGAGGAACACCGGUGGCGAAGGCGGCAUCCUGGACCAACACUGGCGCUGAGGAGCGAAAGCCAGGGGAGCAAACGGG
rnacentral:rRNA from 1 species